rnacentral:rRNA from 1 species
GAGCUCGUAGGCGGUUUGUCGCGUCUGCCGUGAAAGUCCGGGGCUCAACCCCGGAUCUGCGGUGGGUACGGGCAGACUAGAGUGAUGUAGGGGAGACUGGAAUUCCUGGUGUAGCGGUGAAAUGCGCAGAUAUCAGGAGGAACACCGAUGGCGAAGGCAGGUCUCUGGGCAUUAACUGACGCUGAGGAGCGAAAGCAUGGGGAGCGAACAGGAUUAGAUACCCUGGUAGUCCAUGCCGUAAACGUUGGGCACUAGGUGUGGGGGACAUUCCACGUUUUCCGCGCCGUAGCUAACGCAUUAAGUGCCCCGCCUGGGGAGUACGGCCGCAAGGCUAAAACUCAAAGGAAUUGACGGGGGCCCGCACAAGCGGCGGAGCAUGCGGAUUAAUUCGAUGCAACGCGAAGAACCUUACCAAGGCUUGACAUGAACCGGAAACGCCUGGAAACAGGUGCCCCGCUUGCGGUCGGUUUACAGGUGGUGCAUGGUUGUCGUCAGCUCGUGUCGUGAGAUGUUGGGUUAAGUCCCGCAACGAGCGCAACCCUCGUUCCAUGUUGCCAGCGGGUUAUGCCGGGGACUCAUGGGAGACUGCCGGGGUCAACUCGGAGGAAGGUGGGGACGACGUCAAAUCAUCAUGCCCCUUAUGUCUUGGGCUUCACGCAUGCUACAAUGGCCGGUACAAAGGGUUGCGAUACUGUGAGGUGGAGCUAAUCCCAAAAAGCCGGUCUCAGUUCGGAUUGGGGUCUGCAACUCGACCCCAUGAAGUCGGAGUCGCUAGUAAUCGCAGAUCAGCAACGCUGCGGUGAAUACGUUCCCGGGCCUUGUACACACCCGCCCGUCAA